GCACGCGCGCUACACUGAUANAUUCANCGAGUAUUCACCUUGANCGGAAAGNCUGGGNAANCUUUUGAAAUUNUAUCGUGAUGGGGAUAGAUCAUUGCAAUUAUUGGUCAUNAACGAGGAAUUCCUAGUAAGCGCAAGUCAUCAGCUUGCGUUGAUUACGU
rnacentral:rRNA from 1 species